rnacentral:rRNA from 1 species
CAGUAGCCGCGGUAAAACGUAGGGUGCAAGCGUUAAUCGGAAUUACUGGGCGUAAAGCGUGCGCAGGCGGUUUUGUAAGACAGAGGUGAAAUCCCCGGGCUCAACCUGGGAACUGCCUUUGUGACUGCAAGGCUAGAGUACGGCAGAGGGGGAUGGAAUUCCGCGUGUAGCAGUGAAAUGCGUAGAUAUGCGGAGGAACACCGAUGGCGAAGGCAAUCCCCUGGGCCUGUACUGACGCUCAUGCACGAAAGCGUGGGGAGCAAACAGGAUUAGAUACCCCUGUAGUCCCUGUCUCUUAUAC